CCUACGGGAGGCAGCAGUGAGGAAUAUUGGUCAAUGGGCGGGAGCCUGAACCAGCCAAGUCGCGUGAGGGAAGACGGUCCUAUGGAUUGUAAACCUCUUUAGGCGGGGAGCAAUGCCGGGCACGCGUGCCCGGAGGGAGAGUACCCGCAGAAUAAGCAUCGGCUAACUCCGUGCCAGCAGCCGCGGUAAUACGGAGGAUGCGAGCGUUAUCCGGAUUGAUUGGGUUUAAAGGGUGCGGAGGCGGAUUUUUAAGUCAGCGGUAAAAUGUCCGGGCUCAACCCGGGCCGGCCGUUGAAAGUGGGGAUCUUGAGUGGGCGAGAAGUAUGCGGAAUGCGUGGUGUAGCGGUGAAAUGCAUAGAGAUCACGCAGAACUCCGAUUGCGAAGGCAGCAUACCGGCGCCCGACUGACGCUGAGGCACGAAAGCGUGGGGAUCGAACAGGAUUAGAUACCCCGGUAGUC
rnacentral:rRNA from 1 species